ACUCCUACGGGAGGCAGCAGUGGGAAUAUUGGACAAUGGGGAACCGUAGCUCCAGCCAUGCCGCGUGUAUGAAGAAGGAGCCCUCGGGUUGUAAAAGUACUUUCAGUGGUGAGGAAGGUUGCGUGGUUAAUACCCACGUAAUUUGACGUUAGCCACAGAAGAAGCACCGGCUAACUCCGUGCCAGCAGCCGCGGUAAUACGGAGGGUGCAAGCGUUAAUCGGAAUUACUGGGCGUAAAGCGCAUGCAGGCGGUUAAUUAAGUCAGAUGUGAAAGCCCGGGCUCAAGCCUCGGAAUUGCAUUUGAAACUGGCAGACUAGAGUACUGUAGAGGGGG
rnacentral:rRNA from 1 species